UACGUAGGUGUCGAGCGUUGUCCGGAUUUAUUGGGCGUAAAGAGCCCGCAGGCGGCUUGGCAAGUUUGGGGUGAAAUCUCCCGGCUCAACUGGGAGGGUGCCCUGAAAACUGUCAGGCUUGAGUCAUGGAGAGGGAUGUGGAAUUCCGGGUGUAGUGGUGGAAUGCGUAGAGAUCCGGAGGAACACCAGCGGCGAAGGCGGCAUCCUGGACUGGUACUGACGCUCAGGAGCGAAAGCGUGGGGAGCGAUCCGG
rnacentral:rRNA from 1 species